UACAGAGGUGGCAAGCGUUGUUCGGAAUUACUGGGCGUAAAGGGCGCGUAGGCGGUUCGUCAAGUCCUGUGUGAAAUCCCCCGGCUCAACUGGGGAACUGCACAGGAAACUAGCGGGCUUGAGUUCGGGAGAGGGAAGCGGAAUUCCGGGUGUAGCGGUGAAAUGCGUAGAUAUCUGGAGGAACACCGGUGGCGAAGGCGGCAUCCUGGACCGGCAUUGACGCUGAGGCGCGAAAGCCAGGGGAGCAAAGCGGG
rnacentral:rRNA from 1 species